rnacentral:piRNA from 1 species
UAUAUGGCUGGCCUGAUUUACCACAUG